ensembl:Mt_tRNA
GUAGAAAUAGUUUAACCAAAACAUUAGAUUGUGAUUCUAAAAAUAAAGAUUAAAACCCUUUUUUCCACC